rnacentral:rRNA from 1 species
GAGAGUUUGAUCCUGGCUCAGGAUGAACGCUGGCGGUCUGCUUAACACAUGCAAGUCGAACGCAACCUUCGGGUUGAGUGGCGGACGGGUGAGUAACGCGUGAGAAUCUGCCUUGGGGUCGGGGACAACCACUGGAAACGGUGGCUAAUACCGGAUACGCCUUCGGGUAAAAGAUUUAUUGCCCUAAGAGGAGCUCGCGUCUGAUUAGCUAGUUGGUGAGGUAAGAGCUCACCAAGGCAGCGAUCAGUAGCUGGUCUGAGAGGACGAUCAGCCACACUGGGACUGAGACACGGCCCAGACUCCUACGGGAGGCAGCAGUGGGGAAUUUUCCGCAAUGGGCGAAAGCCUGACGGAGCAAGACCGCGUGAGGGAGGAAGGCUCUUGGGUUGUAAACCUCUUUUCUCAGGGAAGAAGCUCUGACGGUACCUGAGGAAUCAGCCUCGGCUAACUCCGUGCCAGCAGCCGCGGUAAUACGGAGGAGGCAAGCGUUAUCCGGAAUUAUUGGGCGUAAAGCGUCCGCAGGUGGCGAUUCAAGUCUGCUGUCAAAGCACGGGGCUUAACUCCGUAAAGGCAGUGGAAACUGAAUAGCUAGAGUGCCGUAGGGGUAGAGGGAAUUCCCGGUGUAGCGGUGAAAUGCGUAGAGAUCGGGAAGAACAUCGGUGGCGAAAGCGCUCUACUGGACGGCAACUGACACUCAGGGACGAAAGCUAGGGGAGCGAAUGGGAUUAGAUACCCCAGUAGUCCUAGCUGUAA